UCCUUCCGGAGGCAGCAGUGGGGAAUAUUUCACCAAUCCGGGAAAGGUGAUCCAGCGACGCCAUGUAGGAAGAAGCCUGCCGGUUGUAAAGCUCUUUAAGUGGUAAUGGGGCUUCAUUUAAUUUCACAGUAGUGACGUACCAAUAGAGCCCAGUCCUCC
rnacentral:rRNA from 1 species